rnacentral:rRNA from 1 species
AUGCCUCCUCUUUUGUUGUUCAAGUACCUCCGGGUGUUCAGAAUUGAUCAGGACAGUUCUAGUGGAGUCAUGGGGACCCUUGACCUCACCGCUAUUUGCCAAUUGUUUCAGCUGAGGUACUUGUAUGUUUCAGUAUCACGUCUUGUACAGCUCCCAGCUGAACUUAAAGGGCUUAUUUACUUGGAGACGCUGGCCAUACCUUUUGCAGAUCUCAAGAGCAUCCCCUCAGAUAUAGUUCAUUUGUCUCGCUUGUCCUAUCUUAGUUUUGGUAUGGAAGAAGGGCUGCCUGAAUGGAUUGGGGAUAUGAAAUCACUACGCAGUCUGAUAAUAUAUCGUAUGGUGACCAAUCCGAGCAUGAAGGCCAUUAUGGGUCUUGGCGAGCUUACCGAUCUUAGGGAACUGGUAAUCUAUGUGGGGUCUUUUGAGAAGCCAAAACUUGAUGCUUUGGCCUACUCCAUUGGACAGCUUUGUAACCUCAAAUAUCUUCGAUUCUAUGGGUCUCAUUCUAAAGUCGAUAACCAGCUGGGCUCAUUAUCCAAUCCUUUUCAACAUAUCGAGGAAUGUCGCGGGUCUGUAUUGAAUUUCCAUAGAGUUCCCAAAUGGAUGGGUGGUCUCCAUUGCCUUCGUAUCCUCGAUCUGCGUGUGGAGGAGACGUCAACUGAGGAGGUUCAUCUUCUUGGGGAGCUUCCCUCCCUCGUCAAACUUGAAUUUAGUUUGUCGCAUCUCCCUAAAGAAAGGGUUAUAUUGGGAAGAGGACUAUUCCUGGUUCUGGAGCACUUCACAUUUCACUCAAAGGAAGACAUUAUGGCAUACCUGGGAUUUCAGGCAGGGGCCAUGCCCAACUUACGAACCCUCGCUCUCAAUAGCGCGGAGUGGGGUGGCAGUAUACCAGUCGGCAUGGAGCACCUGUUAUGCCUCCAGAAGAUCAAACUGUAUCAGAAUUACUCUCGUGAUGCAACCAUGGUUUCUGCGUUCCGGGAUGCCUUAUCAGUGCACCCAAACCGCCCUUCUGUUGAAUAG